rnacentral:rRNA from 1 species
UACAGAGGUCUCAAGCGUUGUUCGGAUUCAUUGGGCGUAAAGGGUGUGUAGGUGGCGCGCUAAGUCGGGUGUGAAAUUUCGGAGCUUAACUCCGAAACUGCAUUCGAUACUGGCGUGCUUGAGGACUGGAGAGGAGACUGGAAUUUACGGUGUAGCAGUGAAAUGCGUAGAGAUCGUAAGGAAGACCAGUGGCGAAGGCGAGUUUCUGGACAGUUACUGACGCUGAGGCACGAAGGCCAGGGGAGCAAACGGG